AGAGUAUUCUCCAAAGCAUAAUCAUUUAUGAUUAUAGUCAUAUCAGCAAUCUUCAUUAGUUUCAUUAUGAAAUAAUGUUAAAAAAGACUUUUUAAUCUUUAAUUAGCAUGCAUUUGAUAACUGGAUUUUGAAUACUGAAUUGCAACAAUAUGUGAUACAGUGGCAUAAACUAACCUACACAGUCAUUACACCACAUCUCUUCAAUUUGUAUUUGAGUAAAUUCAUCAUGGUGUGGGAUAAUGUACGAAUAAUUUUCCAUUCCAAACAGUUGAUAUGCUGACGCUAAUUCUGUUUAAAGUGUUCGUUUGUACACGCCCAUCGUCAGACAAGACGUAUUAUGUCAUGGCACUGUCUGUCCGUCCGUGUGCCAGUCCUAGGUCAUGUUUUCGGACUUUUUUCCGUAAUGGAUGCAUGUACAGUGUUGAAAUUUGGUCACAAAUUCUCCCUUAAAAAGUGAAAGUUUAAGCUAGGUUGGUGCAUUACUGUUUAUUCAUCCCGCGGCCAUUUUCAAAUGAAACCGAGGAGUGGACUUCAAACAUCACGGUAGCAAACACAAACAGCAUGGCCAAGAAAACGAUUCGGGCGAAGAAUAUCCAGUGUCUACCUUUAUUAACACAGGAUCUCAUUGAUGACUGGGCUAACAACACGGCCAAAAUUCCUCGCUCAAAGCAGACAAAAGAAUAUAGUAACUUUGUCGAGGGAUACAUUCACGAUGUCGAAGGUCAGGUUUCGAUGGAUUCACCUUAUAUGGUCUUAUCAUCUCAAUGUGACUGUAAAGCUGGGAAUGGUCAUUGCAGCCAUUGUGUUGGACUAUUAUACCUAUUAUGUCAUUGCCAAAAGCUUGGUUUUAAAGCUGUUCCACCCAUUCAAAGCAAAACAUCCCUGCCUCAGCAUUGAAACAUUCCACAGAGGACUGAAGGGUUAGCCCCAAAACAACAUUGAGAUAUAUAAACUGAAGCCGAAGACAAGUCAACCCAAGAGGAAAUGAAAAAUAACUGAAGGCAUUCUUCCUAAUGUGUAUUGCCCUGUAAAACACCAAUCCCAAGCAAUGAAUUGAAAGACACUUUAAUCAAGCAACGUACAGCGAUCGGUAGUCAUGCCCAAAUUUUAAAAGUUUUUGGCAUUGAUGAAGAAAAUUGUGAAACUGUUCCUUCUCAAUUUGGUCCAGUGCCUGUUGGAUCUCCCCUUUCCUACCAGCAGAAAAUUUCUAAGUCAGAUGGUGACCUUAUUAUCAACAACCCCGAUCAACAGACUUUUCCUGAUUAUGAAUUACCCAACCUUAUUUCAGAAUAUAUUACUGUUCUGAGCUAUGCAGAUUUUCAUGUAUUUAUGGGACUCCACAUUAAUCAUGAUUUUGCUAUAGAAUUAGAAAAACAAACAAAUGGACAAAGUUAUAACAAGACAUGACAUAAUGUCCGUAGAAAUCACAUAACGUCUUCCAUAUUUCAAGAUAUUUGUAGUAGGAAAUCUGACUUUGAAAGUCUUGCUACAAGAAUACUACAGACCAAAAACAUUCAAACUGCUACCAUGAAAUAUGGACUUGAACAUGGACCUGAAGCUGCAAAGUUGUACUCCGAAAUCACAAUGAAUAAUGUGUACAAGUGCGGUUCUGUACUUAAUCCAACUGCACCUCAUCUUGGGACAUCUCCUGAUCGUAAAGUCUAUGACCCUACAAGCAUACCUCAGUUUGGCCUUCUUGAAAUUAAGUGUCCCGACAAGGAUUCAUUUGUAGAUUGUAAAUAUCUAGUGAAGAACAAAACUAAUGGAACAUACAAACUGAAAUAAAGUCAGUUACUUUUACCAAGUAAUGGACCAAAUGGCACUGACGGGCUUAACGUGGUGCGAUUUCUUUGUCAAUUGCCGUCAGGGCUAUCACAAGGAGAUAAUUCAUUUUGACAGUGAUAAAUGGGAUGACAUGAAAAUUUCUCUUGAUGAAUUUUAUUUCGAGUUUCUACUUCCAGCAAUUUGUAAAAAUUGUCAAAAUUAAAACAACUUCAUAAUUGAA